AGAGUCAUCUAUUGCUGAAUGAUCUUAACGAGGGCUCUUCUCCGUCAAAAACGGCAGUUAAUAAUAACUGGCAAAACAAACAACAACCUAACAUUCGCAGCUUAAUAGUUGCUGAAUCUGCCUAACAGUUCCAUCGCCCCAUGUGGCACUGUUAGGCUCACCUAUUAGUGAGAUACGGUCACGGUCGCCUCCUGAGGCCGUUGCAAGAGUUUAAACAGGAUAGCGCACACGGAUAGCCUUGAUUGACGGCAAACGUGCUCGCGAAUCCAAGUAGUCAAUCUACACGCGUAGACGCUGAAGUAUUGGAGCCUUUAGACGCGGGUUCGACUCCCGCC
rnacentral:tmRNA from 1 species